rnacentral:rRNA from 1 species
AAUGCAGCUCCAAGUGGGUGGUAAAUUUCAUCUAAAGCUAAAUACCGGCGGGAGACCGAUAGCGCACAAGUAGAGUGAUCGAAAGAUGAAAAGCACUUUGAAAAUAGAGUCAAAAAGUACGUGAAAUUGUUGAAAGGGAAGCGCUUGAGACCAGACUCAGACCCAGGCAAACACCGCGCGCCCAGGGCCCGUGCAAUUGCCCGGUGCUGGGCCAGCAUCAGUUGGCGUGGAGGGACAAGGGCGCGCGAAAUGUGGCUCCCCUCGGGGAGUGUUAUCAGGCCCGCGCCGGAUGCCGCCGACGCCGACUGAGGACCGCGCCUCGGCUAGGAUGCUGGCUUAAUGGCCUUCAGCGACCCGUCUUGAAACACGGACCAAGGAGUCUAUCAUCUAUGCGAGUGUUUGGGCGCCAAACCCUUGCGCGGAAUGAAAGUGAGCGGAGGUGGGAACCCCUACCCGGGCGCACCAUCGACCGAUCCUGAUGUCUUCGGAUGGAUUUGAGUAGGAGCAUAGCUGUUGGGACCCGAAAGAUGGUGAACUAUGCCUGAAUAGGGUGAAGCCAGAGGAAACUCUGGUGGAGGCUCGCAGCGGUUCUGACGUGCAAAUCGAUCGUCAAAUUU